GAACAUACGGUUGGCUAGGUGGCCACCCAAAAGUUGGUGUUCUUCAAGAAAGUCGAAUGGAUCCACUUGCACCAUAAAGACUCUUUAUCGCAAAAUAGGUUC